AACCUUAUGGACCUGCGGGCGUAUACCUGCGGAGGGAUCAUUACAAGUGACCCCGGUCUAACCACCGGGAUGUUCAUAACCCUUUGUCGUCCGACUCUGUUGCCUCCGGGGCGACCCUGCCUUCGGGCGGGGGCUCCGGGUGGACACUUCAAACUCUUGCGUAACUUUGCAGUCUGAGUAAACUUAAUUAAUAAAUUAAAACUUUCAACAACGGAUCU
rnacentral:misc_RNA from 1 species